rnacentral:rRNA from 1 species
UACGGGGGGGGCAAGCGUUGUUCGGAAUUACUGGGCGUAAAGGGCUCGUAGGCGGCCAACUAAGUCAUACGUGAAAUCCCUCGGCUUAACCGGGGAACUGCGUCUGAUACUGGAUGGCUUGAGUUCGGGGAGAGGGAUGCGGAAUUCCAGGUGUAGCAGUGAAAUGCGUAGAUAUGCGGAGGAACACCGAUGGCGAAGGGCCAAUCCCCUGGGCCUGCACUGACGCUCAUGCACGAAAGCGUGGGGAGCAAACAGG